CAGCUUUUGCUUCUUCCCGGAUAGGAUCGCGAAGUGGUGUUGUGAGAUACGGCGAGUUCUCCGGAUGUUCCUCGGCAAGCUUUAACAGGCAAGCAUUUCCCUUAUACUCCUGCCCCUGCAGAAGUCGCUCACCUAUUUUAUUUUGCCUUCUCCCUCAUGCUAUCCUUAAGUUGCGUUCUUGUCACGUGUCCUUUCCACUUGUUACCUCAAGCAGCCCAUAUUGCCUCCACCAACCUCCUAUGGCUAUUGUUUGGUUAUCGGGUCUGCCUUGCGAGUCGUAGUGCAUGCUAGUGCUAUUUUAUCUCGUUACUGUUAUUGUUAUCUUAUCGGGUUAUAUGUUGGGAAGAAUCAUGGUAACUUUAGUUGUUGACAUUUGUUUAGCGGAGGCAUCGGUGAGUCAGCUGAUCGUUUUAUGACGGCUCACUUAUGUUUCUUUAAAACCUAGGACCCCGAGUUCUUGUUAUCUGUUCCGAGACUGAGCGCUCUAACCACACGUGGGUAUGCUUACCGGGUCUCCCCUCGACCACUGCCGGAAUCUACAGCUUUGUCCAGUGGCCACAACUAGUUUGGAUGUUUGUUUUGUUUCUCCCGGGCGUGCAAGCUUGUUUCUUUGUGGUCGGAUGAUAUGAUGUUACUCUUGGGGAAGCCAUGUUGCCUUGUAACCCCGCUGUCUCUUGCACGCUCGUAGGAUGCGGUACGUAUUGUUAAGAGGUCAUCCUCUAGUGGGCUCUGAUCCUCUUAGCCGUAGACGCAAACAGCUAAGUCCGCUUCGGAGCACGGCCGGACUUCGAUACGGGUUAACUUAGUUAGGUGGCUUCCUGGACAUUGUUGUAGUGAAGGAGAGUGCGUGUCGUGAUAUCCACCUGUCGUAAGUGGGUUGAACGUGCGUGUGGGCACAUUUGGGCACCCCUGCAGGGUUACAAUCUUAUCGAUAAGCCGUGUCCGCGGUUAUGGACGACUUGGAGCUGUAUGACUCGACCAUAGACAACUUGCACCUGUUGUUUCAAUCAUAAUAACUUGUGUAGUAAGUUAGCACCACUUCAAUAAUAAAUGGUUAAAAGUUGUCAACAGUGUGAGUGCCUUUGCCAGUACCUCUUUGCGAAGGGGGAACACUUCGGCUGUGUUAUGUUUGCAGAGUAUAGAACUGUUAGUUGUGCGCUCUCUCACCUUCUCUGUUUAGACGAAUGUUAUAGAGUGUCUCUAUAGGUUUUUAGUGCUUGCGCGUUGCCGCUUAACCCCACCAUAUUGCCUAUGACGUUCCUCUUGCGUCCUCUAAGUCCCCUGCGUGCCUCAAAUACAAAGGAUGACUGGUUGACGAAUGCUUAUACGUCUUGAAGUCUUGUUAAGUACGAACCCGUACUUAUUGCUGCUUCUACGGGAUAUAACCGGGCAGGUAUGAAGAUAUGUUCGAAGAAGACGACGCUAGCAAGGUUACCCUUCCGGCUUGGCCUGGGCAGGGUUAUGGACGCCACUGGUUAUCUUCAGGACUCUUAGUCCAAUUUGUAUCUUGUCCGUACUCGGACGUAUUCGAUCUUCUGUAUGAUUUGGAUCUUUGUAUUGUAUAUUUGUAUCUUGA